rnacentral:rRNA from 1 species
GGUCAAAUGAAAUAAGGCUUACGGCGGAGACCUAGGCACCCAGAGACGAUGAAGGGCGCAGGUACCGGCGAUACGCUUCGGGGAGCUGGUAGUAAGCUUUGAUCCGAAGAUUCCCGAAUAAACAAAUUUCAAGAACUUCCUACAGAAUUCAUAAGUAGGAAAGAGGCAACCCGGUGAAUUGAAACAUCUUAGUAGCCGGAGGAAAAGAAAGCAAAAGCGAUUCCCGUAGUAGCGGCGAGCGAACUGGGACUAGCCUAAACCUGUAAAAAGGGGUAGUGGGAAACAAAAUGAAUAAGGAAAAAUUAACUUAUUCUAGCUUAAGUGAAAAGUUACUUAUUAUCUAAGUAACAAAAAACGAGUGUAAGACGAAACAGACAGAGAAUGCUGUACCAUAGAUGGUGAAAGUCCAGUAGUUAUAAACUAAAGCGUAGUAAUAUCCCGAGUAGCAUGGGACACGUGGAAUCCCGUGUGAAUCAGCGAGGACCACCUCGUAAGGCUAAAUACUCCUGGGUGACCGAUAGCGAAGUAGUACCGCGAGGGAAAGGUGAAAAGAACCUCUGAAGAGGAGUGAAAUAGAACAUGAAACCGUAAGCUGACAAGCAGUGGGAGGGUUUAAAUACCUGACCGCGUGCCUGUUGAAGAAUGAGCCGGCGACUUAUAGGAAGUGGCAGUAAUGUAAGGUUAAGGAAUAAUAUCCGGAGCCUAAGCGAAAGCGAGUCUUAAAUGGCUUCGUCACUUCUUAUGGACCCGAACCCGGGUGAUCUAAUCAUGGCCAGGAUGAAACUUGGGUAACACCAAUUGGAGGUCCGAACCGACCGAUGUUGAAAAAUCGGCGGAUGAGUUGUGAUUAGGGGAGAAAUUCCAAUCGAACUCGGAGCUAGCUGGAUCUCCCCGAAAUGCGUUGAGGCGCAGCGGUUAAGAUGUACCGUCUAGGGGUAAAGCUACUGUUUCGAUGCGGGCUGCGAAAGCGGUACCAAGUCGUGGCAAACUCAGAAUACUAGACUUAGAAUUCGCUUAACCAGUGAGACAUGGGGGGAUAAGCUCCUGUGUCAAGAGGGAAACAGCCCAGAUCACCAGCUAAGGCCCCUAAAUGGUCACUAAGUGGAAAAGGAUGUGAGAAUGCUGAAACAACCAGGAGGUUUGCUUAGAAGCAGCCAACCUUAAAAGAGUGCGUAAUAGCUCACUGGUAAAGCGUUCUUGCGCCGACAAUGGCCGGGACUAAGUGACCUGCCGAAGCUGUGAUAUUUUUCUAGUUAGUGAAGAGGACGGACUUAGCCUGACUGGCGAGGGUUGAUAUACCCAGCUUACUUUAUAAGUUAUAAUUUAUUUUAUAACUUAUAAUUUAUUUUAUAAGUUAUAAUUUAUUUUAUAAUUUAUAAAAAUAAGCUGGAAGAAAAGAAACGGCAACUUACGGGUCCGAAGAAGCGGUUCGAAAUCGUAGCUAAUAAGGAAAGUAGGUAGGGGAGCGUCGUGUUUUGGGAGAAGUCUUCACGUAAGUGGGGUUGGACGAAACACGAGCGAGAAUGUCGGCUUGAGUAACGAAAACAUUGGUGAGAAUCCAAUGCCCCGAAAACCUAAGGGUUCCUCCACUAGGCUCGUCCAUGGGGGGUUAGUCAGGUCCUAAGGAAAGGUCGAAAGGCGUAUUCGAUGGGCAACAGGUUAAUAAUCCUGUACUGUUCUAUUGGGAACCGAGUGACGAAGAAGACUAAACUAUAGCUGUACAUGGAUUGCAGUGGAAGCGUUAAGGUGUUGAGAGCUAGAAUAAAAACUAUGCUUGAGCUAAGGCGGGAUACUUAUUUCGGUUUUAUAUCGGAGUAGUUAGUGAUGUCAUAUUUCCUAGAAAAGCUUGAACACCAUUUUUUUAACAAUAGAAACACCUGUACCUGAAACCGACACAGGUAGGUUGGUAGAGAAUACCAAGGGGCGCGAGAGAACUCUCUCUAAGGAACUCGGCAAACUGGCCCCGUAACUUCGGAAGAAGGGGCACCCUCUUGCAAAGGAGGGUCGCAGUGACCAGGCUCUGGCGACUGUUUAUCAAAAACACAGGUCUCCGCAAAGUCGAAAGACAAUAUAUGGGGGCUGACGCCUGCCCAGUGCCGGAAGGUUAAAGAAGUUGGUUAUCCAUUAUUUGGAAAAGCUGACGACUGAAGCCCCGGUGAACGGCGGCCGUAACUAUGACGGUCCUAAGGUAGCAAAAUUCUUUGUCUAGUAAGUUUAGACCAGCACGAAAGGCGUAACGAUCAGAGCGCUGUCUCGGAGAGAGGCUCGGUGAAAUAGACUUGUCCGUGAAGAUGCGGACUACCUGCACCUGGACAGAAAGACCCUAUGAAGCUUGACUGUAUCCUGUAAUUGGGUUCGGGCUUUUCUUGCGCAGCCUAGGUGGGAGGCUAUGAAGGUUCUCUCCCGGGAGAACUAGAGCCAUCAUUGAGAGACCACUCUGGAAGAGCUAGAAUCCUAAUGGUGAUCUUUGAAUCAAGACACUUAACAGUUUCAGGUGGGCAGUUUAUCUGGGGCGGAUGCCUCCUAAAGCGUAACGGAGGCGUGCAAAGGUUCUCUCAGUCUGGACGGAAAUCAGACAUUGAGUGUAAAGGCAAAAGAGAGCUUGACUGCAAGACCUACAAGUCGAGCAGGGGCGAAAGCCGGCCUUAGUGAUCCGACGGUGCCGUGUGGAAGGGCCGUCGCUCAACGGAUAAAAGUUACUCUAGGGAUAACAGGCUGAUCUUCCCCAAGAGUCCACAUCGACGGGAAGGUUUGGCACCUCGAUGUCGGCUUGUCACAUCCUGGAGCGGUAGUACGUUCCAAGGGUUGGGCUGUUCGCCCAUUAAAGUGGCACAUGAGCUGGGUUUCAAAACGUCGUGAGACAGUUUGGUCCAUAUCCGGUGUAGGCGCUAGAGUAUUGAGAGGAUUUGAAUUUUGUACGAGAGGACCUUUUCAAAGCAGUCUAUAGUGUAUUGGUUAUUGUUCCAACAGUAAACGCCAAGUAGCCACACUGCAAGGGAUAAACGCUGAAAGCAUAUAAGUGUGAAUCUCACCUCAAGAUGAAUACUCUCAUUAAACCAUAAGGUGACAGCUAGACAAGCUGAUAUCCUACUUCUAAUAUAUAUUAGAGGAGCUUCUAGAUUUGAAUACAUAUAAUUUAGAAGGGGAUUAUAGAUGAGAAGUGUAUCUAGAUUAGAGACUAAAGUUAAUAGUCUAGACCAUAUACACUUCUAGGAAAUAGAUAGGUAUUACAUGUAAGAUCAGUAAUGAUUUUAGUGGAGAUAUAACUAAUAACCGGGAGAUUUUGAC